UAAGUCUGUCGGAUAAUCGCGGCUGCAAGCGUCGAAAGACCGCAGGUGAGGAAAGUCCGAGCUUCUCAGGCAGAGUGCCGGAUAACGUCCGGUGGAGGCGACUCCAAGGCCAGUGCAACAGAAAUAAACCGCCUGCUUCGUCAGGUAAGGGUGGAAAGGCGAGGUAAGAGCUCACCGCUCCUCUGGUAACAGAGGAGGCUCUGUAAACCCCACUCGGAAGCAAGACCGCAUAUAAGACGAUACGUCGGCCCGGCGUGUUUUAGGGUAGGUCGCUCGAUCCUGCUGGCAACAGCAGGGCUAGAUAGAUGAUUAUCGUUUCCGGUUUUCCGGAUUCACAUAACUCGGCUUACAGACAGGCUUACAUC
rnacentral:RNase_P_RNA from 1 species